GUAGUCAUGGCCGAGAGGUUAAGGCGAUGGACUCGAAAUCGAUUGGGGUCACCCCGCGCAGAUUCGAACCCUGCCGACUACG